UAGAGAAUCCAUACCACCCUGAGAACACCCGAUCUCAUCUGAUCUCGGAAGGGUCAGGCCCAGUUAGUUCUUUUUCUAAACUCAUAAAUCUCUUUAU
rnacentral:rRNA from 1 species